rnacentral:rRNA from 1 species
UACGUAGGGCGCAAGCGUUGUCCGGAAUUAUUGGGCGUAAAGAGCUCGUAGGCGGUUUGUCGCGUCUGCUGUGAAAACCCAAGGCUCAACCUUGGGCUUGCAGUGGGUACGGGCAGACUAGAGUGCGGUAGGGGUGACUGGAAUUCCUGGUGUAGCGGUGAAAUGCGCAGAUAUCAGGAGGAACACCGAUGGCGAAGGCAGGUCUCUGGGCCACUACUGACGCUGAGAAGCGAAAGCAUGGGGAGCGAACAGG